rnacentral:rRNA from 1 species
GGGGAAUAUUGGACAAUGGGGGAAACCCUGAUCUAGCCAUGCCGCGUGAAUGAUGAAGGCCUUCGGGUUGUAAAGUUCUUUUGACGGGGACGAUGAUGACGGUACCCGUAGAAUAAGCACCGGCUAACUUCGUGCCAGCAGCCGCGGUAAUACGAAGGGUGCUAGCGUUGUUCGGAAUUACUGGGCGUAAAGGGCGCGUAGGCGGCUUGGCAAGUUGGGUGUGAAAGCCCAGGGCUCAACCCUGGAAUUGCACCCAAGACUGCCUUGCUUGAAUUCGGUAGAGGUUGGUGGAAUUCCCAGUGUAGAGGUGAAAUUCGUAGAGAUUGGGAAGAACACCCGUGGCGAAGGCGACCAACUGGACCGACAUUGACGCUGAGGCGCGAAAGCGUGGGGAUCAAACA